rnacentral:rRNA from 4 species
GUGUUCGGAUUGCGGCGACGUGAGCGGUUCGCCGCCCGCGACGUCGCAAGAAGUCCACUGAACCUUAUCAUUUAGAGGAAGGAGAAGUCG